AUGGAGAAGCUGGGAAUGAACCCCGUCAACGCGUGCCCGCUCACGCCGCUGGGGUUUCUGGAGCGUGCGGCCACCGCUUUCGGCGGCUGCCGGUCCGUCGUCUACCAUGACGCCGUCUGGACCUGGAGCCAGACCUUCCGACGCUGCCUCCGCCUCGCCUCCGCGCUCGUGUCGCUGGGCGUCUCCCGCGGCGACGUGGUCUCGGCGCUCCUACCCAACGUGCCGGCCAUGUACGAGAUGCACUUCGGCGUGCCCAUGAGCGGCGCCGUGCUCAACACCAUCAACACGAGCCUCGACGCGGCCACAGUGGCCGUCCUGCUCGGCCACUCCGGUGCCAAGAUCGUCUUCGCUGAUCCGGCGUUCCUGCCGCUCCUCACCGACGCGCUCCACCUUCUGCCGCCAGGGGGCCAACCUGCGCCGCGUGUCAUCCUCGUCGAGGACCCCUACUAUGAGAAGGAGCGUGCGAACGAUGAGGUGGCAGUACUCACCACGUACGAGAUGCUUCUCGAGAAGGGAGACCCGGAGUUCGCCUGGGUCCGGCCGGCGACCGAGUGGGAUCCCAUGAUCCUCAACUACACCUCAGGCACGACGUCGGCGCCCAAAGGGGUGGUCAACUGCCACCGCGGGAUUUUCUUGAUCACCGUCAACUCGCUCAUUGACUGGGCGGUGCCAGCGCGGCCGACGUUCCUGUGGACGCUGCCCAUGUUCCACGCCAACGGGUCGAGCUUCCCCUGGGGGAUGGCCAUGGUGGGCGGCACCAACGUCUGCCUCCGCCGUGUCGACGCCGUCGAGGUCUACGCCACCAUCGCUCGCAACGACGUCACCCACCUCUGCGCCUCGCCGAUGGUGCUCAACGUGCUGGCCAACGCACCCGAGGGCGUGCGGAGGCUCCUAACAGCAGGGAAGGUGCGUGUCCUGACGGGCGGCGCGCAGCUGCCGGCCGCCGUGCUGGAGCUGGCUGAGGCCGUCGGCUUCCAGGUCAGCCACGGGUACGGGCUGAGCGAGACCGGGGGGCUGGUGGUGUCGUGCGUGUGGAAAGACGAGUGGAACAAGCUGCCGGCGCCCGAGCGAGCGCGGCUCAAGACGAGGCAGGGCGUGCGCACACCGGUGAUGGCCGAGGUGGCCAUCCUCGACAGCGAAACGGGCCGCAGCGUGCCCCACGACGGAUCCACAAUGGGCGAGAUCGUGCUCAGCGGUAGCUGCGUCAUGCUGGGGUACCUCAACGACGACAAGGCGACCCAGGCGGCGAUCCGAGACGACGGGUGGUUCCACACGGGGGACAUCGGGGUCAUGCACCCGGACGGCUACCUGGAGAUCCGUGACCGCUCCAAGGACGUGAUCGUGAGUGGCGGGGACACCAUCAGCAGCAUGGAGGUGGAGUCAGCGCUGUACGGUCACCCGGCGGUGAACGAGGCCGCGGUGGUGGCCCGGCUAGACGAGGUGUUAGGGGAGGCACCAUGUGCGUUCGUGAGCCUCAAGGAAGCUUGCACCGUGACCGCGGACGAGCUGAUCGCAUGGAGCCGGGAGCGCAUGCCGCACUUCAUGGUGCCCAAGACCGUGGUCUUCCGUGCCGAGCUGCCCAAGACAUCCACCGGAAAGAUGAAGAAGUACGUGCUCCGCGACCUCGCCAGCGGGAUGGGACCCACACGCGGCAGCUCCGGGGUGUAG
rnacentral:rRNA from 1 species